AAUUGUAUCUCCCAGGAUUCCUGCAUGUUGUGGGAGGGACCCAGUGGGAGGUAACGGAAUCACGGGGGCUGGUCUUUCCUGUGCUAGUCUCGUGAUAGUGAACAAAUCUCACGAGAUCUGAUGGGUUUAUCCGGUGUUUCUGCUUUUGCUUCCUCCUCAUUUUUCUCUUGCUGCCACCACGUAAGAAGUGCCUUUCGCCUCCCGCCAUGAUUCUGAGGCCUCCCCAGCCAUGUGGACCUGUUGUCGCUGCCCUCAGCCUCCAGAUGCAGCCCCCUGCCACCUUCAGGACCCGUGGCUCUCCCCUGGACUCAGUAGUGAAAGGGUUUAUGUGCUCGGAGGGAGUCCUUCAGGAAUCUGUGCAUAGAAUGCCAUAGUGCAGAGGAAAGUCUUCUUUCUGAAAGCAGCCCAACUUUUCUCCCAGAGAGUAUCAUGGAACUGAACUUUCAAGAUCAUGGCAUCUGGACAUCGAGAAAACAGAACCCUCAUCUGGCCACCUGCUGCUUUUUGACCAAUUCCCAUAUAAACCGCUAACUUCAGUCAGUUGGAGGGAUGGAUUUGAGAUUUGCCUUCUGUCUCUCAGCUGAUGUCACCAGCAAUAAAGCCUUCUUCCCUGGCAAUA